AUUGAACGCUGGCGGCAGGCCUAACACAUGCAAGUCGAGCGGAUGAAGGGAGCUUGCUCCUGGAUUCAGCGGCGGACGGGUGAGUAAUGCCUAGGAAUCUGCCUGGUAGUGGGGGAUAACGUCCGGAAACGGGCGCUAAUACCGCAUACGUCCUGAGGGAGAAAGUGGGGGAUCUUCGGACCUCACGCUAUCAGAUGAGCCUAGGUCGGAUUAGCUAGUUGGUGGGGUAAAGGCCUACCAAGGCGACGAUCCGUAACUGGUCUGAGAGGAUGAUCAGCCACACUGGAACUGAGACACGGUCCAGACUCCUACGGGAGGCAGCAGUGGGGAAUAUUGGACAAUGGGCGAAAGCCUGAUGCAGCCAUGCCGCGUGUGUGAAGAAGGUCUUCGGAUUGUAAAGCACUUUCAGCUGGGAGGAAGGGCAGUAAGUUAAUACCUUGCUGUAUUGACGUUACCCGCAGAAGAAGCACCGGCUAACUUCGUG
rnacentral:rRNA from 1 species